UGACCAAGGGGGCGGGACGUUCUGCCUGUUUCAGGGGCGGAGUGACCUACGGGUACAGGGAGUGCCUGCGCAAGGGCCGGGUCAGGAAAAGC
rnacentral:ncRNA from 1 species